rnacentral:misc_RNA from 1 species
GAUGAAGAACGUAGUGAAAUGCGAUAAGUAAUGUGAAUUGCAGAAUUCAGUGAAUCAUCGAAUCUUUGAACGCACAUUGCGCCCAUUAGUAUUCUAGUGGGCAUGCCUGUUCGAGCGUCAUUUCAACCCUUAAGCCUAGCUUAGUGUUGGGAAUCUGCUGUAUUGCAGUUCCUCAAAUACAACGGCGGAUCUGUAACAUCCUCUGAGCGUAGUAAAUUUUUAUCUCGCUUUUGUUAGGUGUUGCAGCUCUCAGCCGCUAAACCCCCCAAUUUUUGUGGUUGACCUCGGAUCAGGUAGGAAUACCUGCUGAACUUAAGCAUAUCAUAAGCGGAGGA